rnacentral:rRNA from 1 species
UACGUAGGGGGCUAGCGUUGUCCGGAAUCAUUGGGCGUAAAGCGCGUGUAGGCGGUCCGGUAAGUCCGCUGUGAAAGUCGGGGGCUCAACCCUCGAAUGCCGGUGGAUACUGUCGGGCUAGAGUACGGAAGAGGCGAGUGGAAUUCCUGGUGUAGCGGUGAAAUGCGCAGAUAUCAGGAGGAACACCGGUGGCGAAGGCGGGUCUCUGGGCCGUAACUGACGCUGAGGAGCGAAAGCAUGGGGAGCGAACAGG